CCCUUUCUUUAACACUAGAACUACCAAAGAUUCCCAAAAUGGGAAUCUUCCUCUAGCUACCAGAGAGGGGCCAGUUUGGCCCUCCAAGAGAGGGUGUGAAGAGGCGCCUUUGUUAUGUAAAUAAGGCCAUUACUGACAAUGACAAAGGACAAUCAGCGUGAAAGUUGAUGUAGUGAGUUUGGCUCUCCUCCCCCCUGCUGGUCCCUCAGGCUAUGGUCACAUCUACAGGGAUGCUAAUUAGACCAUUCAGAGUCGUCAGUUUGGCCACAUUGGGAUGCUAAUAACCCAGUUUGGCCCUCUCUCGGUAGUUCUAGGAAGAUACCCAAUUUGGCCCCUCUUGGUAGAGAUAGGAAUUUCUCAAAAUCCUGGUAGUCCUAGUGUU